AGUGGUCUGAGCCACUAUAAACCCUUUUAAGCUCAGAGCGUCUUGUAGUUAAUACUACAGGGGUAAGA
rnacentral:ribozyme from 1 species